GCUGAUAAAACCAGUUUGCAGUUUGCAGGGAUGGUCUAACACCUCCCAUGACGGCGGGAUCUGUGGAUUGUUCUUGGCUGAAACUAAAACAGGGUCCCCUUUUUAUAACCUGUAUUCAUUUCACAGACAUGAUCCUCAGUGCUGUUGCCUGUAAAGAAAGCGCAGUGAUGCCAACCCUCAAGAUUAUUUACAAGGCGAAGAGCCCGUCCACAGGGAAAAUCUCUGCCAGACUGAAGCGCUCCGCCAGCUCUGCUCUUGUGCUUAUUUGCCGGACAACCUCACAGGCUGGUGCAACACUCUCCCUCUUUUCAGCCACAGGACGAAAGAGUCACGCUCCCAUAUGUGACACCACCUCCAGGGAGAGCAGAGUUUUGAGCAAUGCCUGUUGCACUAGUUAGGACUUCACCUCUUCUCCCCCGUUGAAGGAUGCCUGUGAGCUGGACUCACGGAUUCUUUGUAAUCAAGCAACCCAAGUCCGUUUCAGAUCGACGUGGGAAAGGGUGCAGUGUUCAGUAGAUGCUGUUGGGAUAGCUGACUAUCCAUUUGGAAGAGUUACACUGAGAUAACGAACGUAAAACCCAGGCUACUUCAGAUUUGAACUGCAACUCUCUCCCAAGUCUUCGGCCUGCCAGCCUCCUCCGUCAGAUUUUGGGCUCAGCAAACCACCACAAUCACACGAGCCAAUUCCUUAAAUAAAUAUCUC
rnacentral:lncRNA from 1 species